GGGCACACACACACACACGGGCACACACACACACACACACACACACACACCCUAACCACAUACACCAUCAAACAGAGAGAAAAUAUAAGCGAGAGAUAAAGUACAAAGGAUUAGGACCGUAACCACGAGAGGACUUGAAAAUUAGUCGGAGCUGAGAGAAUCACCAAAACUAAAGAGCAUACAAACAUGCCGACAACCAUCCGUGGAGAUCAGUGGACAAAGGGCUGGACAACGGGCAGCACUGAAAAAAAACACAUCGUUACCAAGAAAGUGGCCACUGUAAUCGAUGGAGGCUCAGGGCGGUACCAUUCUGCUCAUCUGAUGAAGGUGCACAUGGAUCAGAUUCAAACUUUGAAGACCGAGAUCGAGUCAUUGAAGGCAGACCAGCAGAAAAUGAAACAUUAUCGGAGGGGAAGAGAUACGGGCGACAGCUGAUGCAUUGGUCCAGAGCCAGGCGGCAUUGGCGGAGAGACAGGCGGAGAAUGACGUGUUGAAGAGGGAAAGGAACGAGAUGGAGUCACAAUCCAUGCAAGGCACACCUGUGAGCUCUGGAACUCCACCUCCAACAAGCCGAGUCAACAUACCUGGCGGGUUCAUCAGGUCGGUUCACCCUGACAUUUCCAUUCCUCUUCUGACAACAGAACUUGACCGACUGGGCCGUCCGGACCGUUAUGCUGUUCUGCUAUAGCCUGAUAAACAAAUGCAGGUGGCUUAUAUCUUCAAAAUGCUUUAAAUGCGUUAUUUUCCAAAUGUAAAAGCAUA